CGGGAACUCAAAGGAGACUGCCAGUGAUAAACUGGAGGAAGGUGGGGAUGACGUCAAGUCAUCAUGGCCCUUACGACCAGGGCUACACACGUGCUACAAUGGCGCAUACAAAGAGAAGCGACCUCGCGAGAGCAAGCGGACCUCAUAAAGUGCGUCGUAGUCCGGAUUGGAGUCUGCAACUCGACUCCAUGAAGUCGGAAUCGCUAGUAAUCGUGGAUCAGAAUGCCACGGUGAAUACGUUCCCGGGCCUUGUACACACCGCCCGUCACACCAUGGGAGUGGGUUGCAAAAGAAGUAGGUAGCUUAACCUUCGGGAGGGCGCUUACCACUUUGUGAUUCAUGACUGGGGUGAAGUCGUAACAAGGUAACCGU
rnacentral:rRNA from 1 species